CAGCAGCCACGGGAAUACAGAGGGUGCGAGCGUUAAUCGGAUUUACUGGGCGUAAAGCGUGCGUAGGCGGCUUUUUAAGUCGGAUGUGAAAUCCCUGAGCUUAACUUAGGAAUUGCAUUCGAUACUGGAAAGCUAGAGUAUGGGAGAGGAUGGUAGAAUUCCAGGUGUAGCGGUGAAAUGCGUAGAGAUCUGGAGGAAUACCGAUGGCGAAGGCAGCCAUCUGGCCUAAUACUGACGCUGAGGUACGAAAGCAUGGGGAGCAAACAGGAUUAGAUACCCCAGUAGUCCCUGUCUCUUAUAC
rnacentral:rRNA from 1 species